AACGUAGGGAGCAAGCGUUGUCCGGAAUCAUUGGGCGUAAAGAGCGCGCAGGCGGCUUGGCAAGUCGGGUGUGAAAUCCCGGGGCUCAACCCCGUGACUGCAUCCGAUACUGUCAGGCUAGAGGUAGGUAGGGGAGAUCGGAAUUCCUGGUGUAGCGGUGAAAUGCGCAGAUAUCAGGAGGAACACCGGUGGCGAAGGCGGAUCUCUGGGCCUUACCUGACGCUCAGGCGCGAAAGCUAGGGGAGCGAACAGG
rnacentral:rRNA from 1 species